rnacentral:rRNA from 1 species
AGAGUUUGAUCCUGGCUCAGAUUGAACGCUGGCGGCAGGCCUAACACAUGCAAGUCGAGCGGAUGAAGGGAGCUUGCUCCCUGAUUUAGCGGCGGACGGGUGAGUAAUGCCUAGGAAUCUGCCUGGUAGUGGGGGAUAACGUUCCGAAAGGAACGCUAAUACCGCAUACGUCCUACGGGAGAAAGCAGGGGACCUUCGGGCCUUGCGCUAUCAGAUGAGCCUAGGUCGGAUUAGCUAGUUGGUGAGGUAAUGGCUCACCAAGGCGACGAUCCGUAACUGGUCUGAGAGGAUGAUCAGCCACACUGGAACUGAGACACGGUCCAGACUCCUACGGGAGGCAGCAGUGGGGAAUAUUGGACAAUGGGCGAAAGCCUGAUCCAGCCAUGCCGCGUGUGUGAAGAAGGUCUUCGGAUUGUAAAGCACUUUAAGUUGGGAGGAAGGGCAUUAACCUAAUACGUUAGUGUUUUGACGUUACCGACAGAAUAAGCACCGGCUAACUUCGUGCCAGCAGCCGCGGUAAUACGAAGGGUGCAAGCGUUAAUCGGAAUUACUGGGCGUAAAGCGCGCGUAGGUGGUUCGUUAAGUUGGAUGUGAAAGCCCCGGGCUCAACCUAGGAACUGCAUCCAAAACUGGCGAGCUAGAGUACGGUAGAGGGUGGUGGAAUUUCCUGUGUAGCGGUGAAAUGCGU